UACGGGGGGAGCAAGCGUUGUUCGGAUUUACUGGGCGUAAAGGGCGCGUAGGCGGCCACUGCAAGUCAGUUGUGAAAUCUCCGGGCUUAACCCGGAAAGGUCAACUGAUACUGCAGGGCUAGAGUGCAGAAGGGGCAACUGGAAUUCUCGGUGUAGCGGUGAAAUGCGUAGAUAUCGAGAGGAACACCUGCGGCGAAGGCGGGUUGCUGGGCCGACACUGACGCUGAUGCGCGAAAGCCAGGGGAGCGAACGGG
rnacentral:rRNA from 1 species